rnacentral:rRNA from 1 species
CACGGGGGGAGCAAGCGUUGUUCGGAAUCACUGGGCGUAAAGGGCGUGUAGGCGGUCUGGUAAGUGGGAUGUGAAAGCCCCCGGCUCACCCGGGGAUCUGCAUUCCAAACUGCCCGACUUGAGUAUGGGAGAGGACAGGGGAAUUCCUGGUGUAGCGGUGAAAUGCGUAGAUAUCAGGAGGAACACCGGUGGCGAAAGCGCCUGUCUGGCCCAAUACUGACGCUGAUGCGCGAAAGCUAGGGGAGCAAACGGG